AGCUGUUGUUUCUGAAGCCGAAAACUCAUCUCAGGAUGCCUUCCAACUUAGCAAACUGGGAGGAAAAGAUGAAAAAAAUCGUCAACUUCAAAAACACUCAACAGGCUCUCAGGAUGGUCCUGUGAGCGUUCCCAGCAGCAGUGACAGCAGGGAGGACCCACUCCACAAAGCUCCAAAGAAGAAGAGCAUCAAGUCCUCCACUGGUCGUUUGUUUGGCAAAAAGGAAAAGGAUCCGCCUGGACAAACUGGGAAAGAAUCACCAAGACAAGGUGGGCUGGUUUUAGGCAGCUGUCCUAACUGCUGGGAUUGGGAGAGCAUGCGCUUUUUCCUAUGUACCUGCCACAGGUGUCCAGUGCCCACAAGGAAUCAUGGCUGAGCAUUCUCCAGACAGCCCAGUCUGCCCACAUGUGAACCAGAGCAGAGCAGUGGACAUUCAUUUGGCGUGAAUGAAUAACCCUCUUAUAUGCUAAUUUAUACGCUUGAACAUUUAUAUGUGUUUGCUCGGAAGCUUACCCUUCAGAAAUUAUUCAGCUCUCUACCUGCAGAAUCUUCUUCCUAUUUGUGAAACAUAUAACUUUGCCAUGUUAAUUUACUCUAAAUUUGGGGAAUUUUCUUCUUUUUUGUAGCUGUUGUUUCUGAAGCCGAAAACUCAUCUCAGGAUGCCUUCCAACUUAGCAAAUUGGGAGGAAAGGAUGAAAAAAAUCGUCAACUUCAAAAACACUCAACAGGCUCCCAGGAAGGACCUGUGAACAAUCCCAGUACCAGUGACAGCAGGCAGGACGCGCUCCACAAAGCCCCAAAGAAGAAGAGGAUCAAGUCCUCCAUUGGUCGUUUGUUUGGCAAAAAGGAAAAGGGUCCGCCUGGACAAACUGGCAAAGAAUCACCAAGACAAGGUGGGCCGGUUUUAGGCAGCUGUCCUAACUGCUGGGAUUGGGAGAGCGUGAGGUUUUUCCUAUGUGCCUGAUGCAGGUGUCCAGUGCCCACGAGGAGUCAUGGCUGAGCAUUCUCCAGACAGCCCAGUCUGUCCACAUGUGAA